GCAAGUCGAACGAGAAAGCUCUUCGGGGUGAGUACAGUGGCGCACGGGUGAGUAACGCGUAGAUGAUGUGCCUUUUAGUUGGGGACAACCUCGGGAAACCGGGGCUAAUACCGAAUAAGCUUAGUUGACUUAAAAGAUACUAAGGAAAGGGGGCUUCGGCUCUCGCUAAGAGAUCGGUCUGCGUAGCAUUAGCUUGUUGGUGGGGUAAUGGCCUACCAAGGCAACGAUGCUUAACUGGUCUGAGAGGAUGAUC
rnacentral:rRNA from 1 species